CGGACGGGUGAGUAACGCGUGGAUAACCUGCCGUAUACCGGGGGAUAACACUUAGAAAUAGGUGCUAAUACCGCAUAAGCGCACGGCUCCGCAUGGGCAGUGUGAAAAACUCCGGUGGUAUACGAUGGAUCCGCGUCUGAUUAGCUAGUUGGCGGGGUAACGGCCCACCAAGGCAGCGAUCAGUAGCCGGCCUGAGAGGGUGGACGGCCACAUUGGGACUGAGACACGGCCCAAACUCCUACGGGAGGCAGCAG
rnacentral:rRNA from 1 species